AUACGUAGGUGACAAGCGUUAUCCGGAUUUAUUGGGUGUAAAGGGUGCGUAGGCAGUUUAUCAAGUCAGGGGUUAAAAGCCGCAGCUCAACUGCGGAGCUGCCCUUGAAACUGAUAGACUUGAAUAUGAGAGGGGCUGAUAGAAUUCCUGGUGUAGCGGUAAAAUGCGUAGAUAUCAGGAGGAAUACCGGUGGCGAAGGCGGUCAUCUGGCUCAUUAUUGACGCUGAAGCACGAAAGCGUAGGUAGCGAACAGGAUUAGAUACCCUGGUAGUCUACGCUGUAAACGAUGUAUGCUUGGUGUUAUGCGUUUAUGCGCGUAGUGCCGUAGGAAAUCUGGUAAGCAUACCACCUGGGGAGUACGAAUGCAAGUUUGAAACUCAAAGGAAUUGACGGGG
rnacentral:rRNA from 1 species